AUGUGUGACACAGAUGACAAGCCUCAUAAUGUGGGAUUUAGGAGUUUCAAAAGUGAAAGUGAAAACCCGGAUUCAGUAGGAUCAUACAACUACAGACAGUACAGACUUGGUGAUAUUACCCAGCAUUCCGCAGACGAUGCGCUCAUGGUACCUCAGGUUACAAUCACAGACGACUCGCACGACCCCCUGCCCAUUGUGUUCAUGGAUACAGACGAUUGCACCGCUGAAUGGGUUCAUAAACAGCAUGAACUCCUGCAUCCAGGAGGAAUAAUUGUAAAGGUCAAAUCUGAUACGAUAUGUCCUUCUACUAGUGAUUUCUUGGAGGAAGGUAAAGGUCGAAAAGUGUGCUGUCCGAACCCGAAUUGUAUGUUUAACAGGCAAAUUACGGCCUGUGCGCAUUCUCAGAACGCCUUGAACCUCAAUAAGAGUAUCCCUAUGUUUGAUUCUCAUGAGUUACGUGUUCCCUACGAGAGACAGAGUAGAGAUAAAACUCGUCGAAAACGUCCAUUAUUAGUUAAUACUAAGCACCAGAGCCUUUCGUCGGAACCAAAAACUCCGGUCCGAAGGGUUCAUCCUUUUCUAUCAGCACAACAUCAAAGUGUGUCUUCCGAACCCAAAACUCCUGUUUCAAAGAUAAACCCACACAAUUUCCCCAUUCAUAUUCCUCCCAUUAUCAAAAUUCAAAACACGGACAAAACAAGUUGCCAAAAAUCGAAAGAGGGAAGACGAGAUUCUGCGAGUAGCACGUCAUCGGAUGACCCCUUGAUUUAUCGUGUAUCCAGUGAUAAGUGGACUCGUUCUCGUUCUCGUCCCCGUCGGAGCGUGACGGAGGACGCUGGGUACGCGUGUUGCCAGCACCCUCCUCUGAUCCGCCCUCCGAACAUCAAACAGCUGAGCGUGGAGGAGGCGUGUCAGCUGGGUCUCCUGAUUCCACAUACCCCUAAAUGUGUCAGUAACUCUCCCUCUUGUCAAAGCAUCUUGCAAAUGGAAACACCGUUAUGACGCACAUUGGUGCGACUUUUUUCAUGUUAUUAAAUAUAUAUAUACCCUUAGAAUUUU
rnacentral:misc_RNA from 1 species